rnacentral:miRNA from 1 species
ACCAGAAUCACCUGGAGAGCUUGUUUAAACACAGAUUGUUGGGCCCUACCUCUAAAGUUAGUGGUUUAGUAGGUCUGGGUUAGGGCUUGAAAAUUUGCUUUUCUAACAAGUUCCUGGGUGAUGUUGCU